AAAUUGAAGAGUUUGAUCAUGGCUCAGAUUGAACGCUGGCGGCAGGCCUAACACAUGCAAGUCGAGCGGUAGCACAGAGAGCUUGCUCUCGGGUGACGAGCGGCGGACGGGUGAGUAAUGUCUGGGAAACUGCCUGAUGGAGGGGGAUAACUACUGGAAACGGUAGCUAAUACCGCAUAACGUCGCAAGACCAAAGUGGGGACCUUCGGGCCUCAUGCCAUCAGAUGUGCCCAGAUGGGAUUAGCUAGUAGGUGGGGUAACGGCUCACCUAGGCGACGAUCCCUAGCUGGUCUGAGAGGAUGACCAGCCACACUGGAACUGAGACACGGUCCAGACUCCUACGGGAGGCAGCAGUGGGGAAUAUUGCACAAUGGGCGCAAGCCUGAUGCAGCCAUGCCGCGUGUGUGAAGAAGGCCUUCGGGUUGUAAAGCACUUUCAGCGGGGAGGAAGGCGUUAAGGUUAAUAACCUUGGCGAUUGACGUUACCCGCAGAAGAAGCACCGGCUAACUCCGUGCCAGCAGCCGCGGUAAUACGGAGGGUGCAAGCGUUAAUCGGAAUUACUGGGCGUAAAGCGCACGCAGGCGGUCUGUCAAGUCGGAUGUGAAAUCCCCGGGCUCAACCUGGGAACUGCAUUCGAAACUGGCAGGCUAGAGUCUUGUAGAGGGGGGGUAGAAUUCCAGGUGUAGCGGUGAAAUGCGUAGAGAUCUGGAGGAAUACCGGUGGCGAAGGCGGCCCCCUGGACAAAGACUGACGCUCAGGUGCGAAAGCGUGGGGAGCAAACAGGAUUAGAUACCCUGGUAGUCCACGCCGUAAACGAUGUCGAUUUGGAGGUUGUGCCCUUGAGGCGUGGCUUCCGGAGCUAACGCGUUAAAUCGACCGCCUGGGGAGUACGGCCGCAAGGUUAAAACUCAAAUGAAUUGACGGGGGCCCGCACAAGCGGUGGAGCAUGUGGUUUAAUUCGAUGCAACGCGAAGAACCUUACCUGGUCUUGACAUCCACAGAACUUUCCAGAGAUGGAUUGGUGCCUUCGGGAACUGUGAGACAGGUGCUGCAUGGCUGUCGUCAGCUCGUGUUGUGAAAUGUUGGGUUAAGUCCCGCAACGAGCGCAACCCUUAUCCUUUGUUGCCAGCGGUUAGGCCGGGAACUCAAAGGAGACUGCCAGUGAUAAACUGGAGGAAGGUGGGGAUGACGUCAAGUCAUCAUGGCCCUUACGACCAGGGCUACACACGUGCUACAAUGGCAUAUACAAAGAGAAGCGACCUCGCGAGAGCAAGCGGACCUCAUAAAGUAUGUCGUAGUCCGGAUUGGAGUCUGCAACUCGACUCCAUGAAGUCGGAAUCGCUAGUAAUCGUAGAUCAGAAUGCUACGGUGAAUACGUUCCCGGGCCUUGUACACACCGCCCGUCACACCAUGGGAGUGGGUUGCAAAAGAAGUAGGUAGCUUAACCUUCGGGAGGGCGCUUACCACUUUGUGAUUCAUGACUGGGGUGAAGUCGUAACAAGGUAACCGUAGGGGAACCUGCGGUUGGAUCACCUCCUUA
rnacentral:rRNA from 1 species